AAACGCAGCUCCUAUUUACGACACUAGAUGGGCGCCUGAAUGCAUCAUGACAGCCGCGCGGGUUUCAAGAGUUGGCGUAACAUUUGAUGUUCAACUAAAGUGCGAACUUUUAAACGGUUGCUGGGGAAUGCUGGAGCCUAUACCAGCUGACUUCAGGGUUGCGUCCCAGCAUGCUUCCACUGCAGUUCAGUCCUCAGCUGGGGGGCGGGGCAUACGAAGAAAAAGACAGAGACAAACAGUAGGACAGACGGACAUGGAAUCUGUCAAUGCUGGCAGUCAAAUAGCAGCUUUUUCAGUCUCAUCCAAGCUUUGACAGUGAGAGGGCUACUGGCUGGGGGGGGGGGCGUAUGCCGGAGGACUCUUCUCCUCCCCCGUCCCCGCUUAUCACUCAUUGGAUUGGUGCUAUGUAGCAGUGCUGCUAACACUUGCGCUCUGCUGCACUCUAUAUCUUGAAGCAGCAGAGAGGGGUGGCCCCUGUGGGGCUGUGGUGGCGGGGGAGCGUUGUCGCCCCCUCAUCCCUCAGUACAUUCUUUCAAAAGGGAGUAGUGAGGGUAAGUGUU